GGUCUCACAGAGUCGGACAUGACUGAAGCAACUUGGCAGCAGCAGCAGCACAAAUUAACAAGUACAAAACUCUUUUCACCUCUCAGGUCUCCCCUGAAAUAAUGCUUCUCCACAGUUAGUUGGGAUUCCAGACAACUUUUGAUUGCUUUUAGUGUAUUUAUAAACUAAUCCACCGAGACAUAUCAUUGUAUAAUUGAUAAGUUGACUCACGCUAUAAUGCUAUUCUAUGACUUUUUUUUUUCAUAUAAGGGUAUGUCUUGGGAGACCUUUCCAAAUUAGGAUGUAUAGCUCUAGCUCAUUCUCUGCAGUGAAGGAGACAGCACGCUGAGGACAGUCCUAAAGGAUUGCUCUCUUAUCCUGCUCUGUCCCGCCAAGGCAGCCUCCCAGAGAAAAACUUCAGUGGAAACUUGCCACCUUGCCCUGACCUGGGCAGGAGAGAACGCUGGGGGACUACAGCUGAUCGUGUCCCUCCUGGAUGACGGGCUCGGGCGUGCCGGGGCGCGAGGGAGACGGGAGCUGAGCCCAGGGCGCGCAGGGACCGCUGAGCGCCCGGCGUCUGUCGUCUGUUAGCAGAAGUGCGUCUGGCUGUGACCUCAGCGGCUCCACCGAGGCUGGAAGCCUCCAGCACGGGUGGGAGCCGGUCCACUUGCCCGCCCCUCGCCUGGGUCAGCAGAGGCUUCUCCUGAGAGACCGACGGCCCCACCAGCUCGGGUGGAAGUGGGGCGAGCCCCAGAGACGGCUUACCCCACUUAGAAGAUCCGCCCGCGGGCCCUUAGUGGGUGAAAUGAAACCUAAGAACUCAGAGGAUACUUGGAGUGGAAGUGGGUCUUUGAAUGUCUCCCUCCAGAGCGGAUGCUGCAGGUGGGUCCGUGGCUCCAGGGCAGUGCAGAGAGUCCCAGUGGUUUAGUUCCCAAGUGAGCUCACAAUUGUUGUGUAGCCUCCAAACCACUUCCAUAGCAAUCUUGCUUGCCCUCGUUCAUCCUGUUUUUAAGCAGUUGCCUCUAGUGAUUAAAAAAGAAAAAUAUUGCAAGAGCAAAUUGGAAAAUACAUGCUACGUCAAAAGCUGUUUUGAGAAAUUUCCAGGUAAACAUGAAUCAAAAGAAAUCCCUAAGGAACCAAAUAAGAAAUCUCCCAAAGCAAGAUGUUCCGUGUCCAAUUAUUAUUGUGGGAUCUACAGUAAUAAAUUCCUCUAAUAACGGGUUCUCCAAAGCCCUGGCAAGUUAAUAACAUUGCAGUAUAAUGCCGUGUGUUCUUAGAAGGUAUUUUACACAAGAACAACAUGCAGGUUUCUUUCUCUCCCUUGGCAUUCUGCAGUCUCUUUUAUUAUAUUUGUCACUUGGUUUAAAAACUAAAUUUAGAAAUGAAAAUUCAACACCUGCUUCAGCCUAGUUCUUGACAAUUAGCUCUGUUCCGUCGCUUGGAACUUCUGCAGGGAUAGCAGAAUCCCUUUGCAGUCCUGUGUUUUAUUUCCUCAAACUGAUGCCUCCUAGUGGCAACACCAAAGCCCAGAUGUUGACAUGACCUUUAACCUUUCACCUGGCAAAGUUAGGGUUUUUUUUUAAUCAAUAGAACUGAAAAAUUCAUCCAACUACUUUACUGUCUAUCUUUUAGGCUAUACUAUGUAUCCUUAUUUCGGAGAGGGCAAUGGCACCCCACUCCAGUACUCUUGCCUGGAAAAUC
rnacentral:lncRNA from 1 species